CGAUGAAACUUUAACAGAACCCUUCGGGGCGAAGAUAAAGUGGAUUAGCGGCGGACGGGUGAGUAACACGUGGGUAACCUGCCUUAGACAUUGGGAUAGCCUCGGAAAACUGGGAUUAAUACCAAAUAAAAUCGUAAUGACACAUGUCAUAACGAUCAAAACUCCGGUGGUCUAAGAUGGACUCGCGUCCCAUUAGCUAGUUGGUAGAGUAAAAGCCUACCAAGGCGACGAUGGGUAGCCGGCCUGAGAGGGUGAACGGCCACAUUGGAACUGAGAAACGGUCCAAACUCCUACGGGAGGCAGCAGUGGGGAAUAUUGCACAAUGGAGGGAACUCUGAUGCAGCGACGCCGCGUGAACGAAGAAGGCUUUCGAGUCGUAAAGUUCUUUUAUAUGGGAAGAUAAUGACGGUACCAUAAGAAAAAGCCCCGGCUAACUACGUGCCAGCAGCCGCGGUAAUACGUAGGGGGCUAGCGUUGUCCGGAAUCACUGGGCGUAAAGGGUUCGCAGGCGGAAAUGCAAGUCAGAUGUAAAAGGCAGUAGCUUAACUACUGUAAGCAUUUGAAACUGCAUAUCUUGAGAAGAGUAGAGGUAAGUGGAAUUUUUAGUGUAGCGGUGAAAUGCGUAGAUAUUAAAAAGAAUACCGGUGGCGAAGGCGACUUACUGGGCUCAUUCUGACGCUGAGGAACGAAAGCGUGGGUAGCAAACAG
rnacentral:rRNA from 2 species